GUAACCCUGCCCUCGAAAGCACCUCGGCCCAAUCCAAUCCCCCGCACGCCGCAACCUUCCCUCCCUCCUCGAUCUCUCUCCCUCGGCCGCCACGAACCCUAGCUCCCUUUCCUACGAUCCCGUGGUCGCUGCCGCUGCUCCAUCCGACCUCCCUCAUCAGCCGCCGCCGACACUACGGCUCCUCCAUCCACCGACUCUGUCUGUGCAAGCGACCAGUUUCCUUCCGCCCCGACCUUCUCCACUGUCUCCCAGUUCAUCAUCCGUCCCUUGCUGCUCGAGGUGCUCAUCUGCCCAUGCCGCGAGGAAGCAACGUGAGGAGGAGAGACCUCGUCUCGAGAAGCCGCGGGAGGAGGGGCUCAAGCAGAGAAGAGCAGAUGCCAGCCAGGUAGUCGGCUUGGCUCGACGCCGUCCUUCGUGUCCGGGCCGCGGCAGACCCUAGCGCCGUCCUUCAGGUGUCUUCACGGCAGCAGGUCCGCAUAUCUGCACUACAAGCUGGACCAUAUAGAAUGAUCCAAUGAUAUGAUCCUGCUGUGUUCUAAUGAAUAGAUUGGUCAAAGGAUCUGUUUAUAGACAACAGGCAUAUAUUUGUACAAAGAUCAUAUUAUUUCGAUGCCCAUAUGAAGUUGGUGGUUCAUGCAGACCCAAGGGUGCACUGACAGAAGAUAUCAGAGGAGCAGAGGAAAAUGCAAGUGUGUAUGUGUGAAAAAUUAUUGGUUUAACUCAAGGAUGCUGAGGAAAUCCUCGAAGGCAUAAAGACCACACAGACACUUACUUUUUUUAUGGUUUUUCUUCGCAGCUGAUGGCAAGCUCCUUUCUUGCUAAUUGUGAUUUCUUUUGUACAUGGCCUCUCACCAGAGUCAAGGAUGUCGAGGUCUCCUGCUUGCUCUGGUUCAAACCUUUUAUGCUCUGUUUGGCCUGUAACUUGUAUUGCCUUAUUGAAAAGAAGGCCUCCUCGGACAUUAAGAAGGUAAAACUAGGUAGCAAUGGAAGUGCUCCGUUCAAAAACAAUAACUUGGCAGAAGCUCUACAUAUGCAAAUGGAGGUUCAGACACAGCUCCAUGAACAGCUAUAGGUCAAGAGCCAUGAAUCGGAGCAAGGCAUCACACUCUAGCUCUGAGAAGGAAAAGACAGAGAUAGAUCAGUGUUCUGCUCCGAAGCAAAAACAUUUGGCAUGUAAUAAUGAACUGUAGUUUACCACAAUCUCUCUAAAACAGGCCUACCUAUUACCCGUCCAUUGCUUGCCUUUUUUAGGACGUAUGACUCAGUCGUAUAUAUUUACAUUCGCGUUGUUUAGUUGUGGUUUGUAUGCUUGAAAAUACGUUUUAACCGAGCUUGAAAAUUCUUAUGUGCAGUGAAAUUGUAUCUAACACUUUGUAAAGAACAAAUGAAACACGUUU